CGCUGUGAUGAAAACCUUGAAUAGGAAGUGCCGUCCGAUGCGAUAACUGACGAUUUCAGUUACUUGCUCUGAGC